AAUAUAUAUUUUUGGACAAAAAUGGGUAAAGGACUGUUGCCUUAGUAAAGAGGUUCCGGGAAUUGGAGGCGGCUGGUUAAUCAGGUUGCUCAAGACUCAAGAGUGUGGGGUUUAGCCGAACUUCGUUUUUCCUACUUCCUAGAACACGCUUUGUCUGAAUACUGAUUCUGAAUUGCACCACACCAACAACACUUUCUUCGCAAUACUUUACCCAUUCUUUUCUUUCCUCUUCAACCUCUAAUUUCACCGCAUGAUUUCUACUUUAUAGGUUUCAUUUUAUUCACGGUUUGCUGUAUUCCUUGAAUCUGGGUUGGAACCAUUUCUCAAUUCUUUUAUUAUGACUAUGCUUGCCUCGUAUCGUUCACAUUGAGUUGGUCAAAGCCUAAAUCGUUUUUUGUAUAACUAAGGAAUUUUGAGACUGUCCUGUUACUCCCACUAAUUGAACUUUUAAAAAGUUGUUUUUGCUUUAAAAUCAUUUUUCACAUGCUCAACCAAAAGGCCUAACAGUAUAGGGUCUGCUAGAUCCUCAAGUAGAUCAAAAUGUAUUCGAUUCCCGGGAGCGACAUGGUUGUUGGAGUGAAUGGAUAACCAGCCACCUGAAGGAGAUUAGAUACCAUUAGUUAUACUAAAAAUACCGAUUAAAACCCUAAUAACUAUACAAAAUAUGGUUAUUUUUCAUGGCCGAACAUUUAGAUUGAAAAUUCAUUUUCUGCUAACAAUUAAGAGAUAAAUCCACUGUUUUUUUAGUUCAGCUCAGGUUUCGUGGUUUCUCAUUAUCUCAUCUCAUGUAAUAUAAAAAACCUGUG
rnacentral:lncRNA from 1 species